rnacentral:rRNA from 1 species
CGCGGGAAUCCCAGCAAUGGGGGAACCGGCGUAAGGGGCAGUAAGGCGUGGGUACCUACCCUGGGGUCUGGGAUAGCCGUCCGAGAGGGCGGGUAAUACCGGAUGACCUCGGGAGAGCAAAGCUCCGGCGCCCUGGGAGGGGCCCACGUGAUAUUAGCUAGUUGGCGGGGUAACGGCCCACCAAGGCGGAGAUGUCUAGCGGGUGUGAGAGCACGACCCGCGCCACUCGCACUGAGACACUGGCGAGACACCUACGGGUGGCUGCAGUCGAGGAUCUUCGGCAAUGUGCGCAAGCACGACCGAGCGACGCCGCGUGGGCGACGAAGGCCUUCGGGUUGUAAAGCCCUGUCGAGGGGGAGAAAAGCCCGCAAGGGUGUGAUCUAUCCCUGGAGGAAGCUCGGGCUAAGUUCGUGCCAGCAGCCGCGGUAAGACGAACCGAGCGAACGUUGUUCGGAAUCACUGGGCUUAAAGGGCGCGUAGGCGGGCUGCCAAGUUUGGGGUGAAAUCCUCCGGCUCAACCGGGGAAGUGCCUCGAAUACUGGCGGUCUCGAGGGAGGUAGGGGCGUGCGGAACUGUAGGUGGAGCGGUGAAAUGCGUUGAUAUCUACAGGAACUCCGGUGGCGAAGGCGGCACGCUGGACCUUUUCUGACGCUGAGGCGCGAAAGCC